rnacentral:rRNA from 1 species
UGGGGAAUAUUGCACAAUGGGCGCAAGCCUGAUGCAGCCAUGCCGCGUGUAUGAAGAAGGCCUUCGGGUUGUAAAGUACUUUCAGCGGGGAGGAAGGCGAUAAGGUUAAUAACCUUGUCGAUUGACGUUACCCGCAGAAGAAGCACCGGCUAACUCCGUGCCAGCAGCCGCGGUAAUACGGAGGGUGCAAGCGUUAAUCGGAAUUACUGGGCGUAAAUCGCACGCAGGCGGUUUGUCAAGUCGGAUGUGAAAUCCCCGGGCUCAACCUGGGAACUGCAUUCGAAACUGGCAGGCUAGAGUCUUGUAGAGGGGGGUAGAAUUCCAGGUGUAGCGGUGAAAUGCGUAGAGAUCUGGAGGAAUACCGGUGGCGAAGGCGGCCCCCUGGACAAAGACUGACGCUCAGGUGCGAAAGCGUGGGGAGCAAACA